GGAUACCCGCUGAACUUAAGCAUAUCAAUA
rnacentral:rRNA from 1 species